rnacentral:rRNA from 1 species
AGAUUGAACGCUGGCGGCAUGCCUUACACAUGCAAGUCGAACGGCAGCACGGGGGCAACCCUGGUGGCGAGUGGCGAACGGGUGAGUAAUGCAUCGGAACGUGCCCAGUAGUGGGGGAUAACUAGUCGAAAGAUUAGCUAAUACCGCAUACGACCUAUGGGCGAAAGCGGGGGAUUCGCAAGAACCUCGCGCUAUCGGAGAGGCCGAUGUCUGAUUAGCUAGUUGGCGGGUAAAAGCCC